rnacentral:rRNA from 1 species
CAACCCCUAUCCUGUGUUGCUACCCGCAAGGGAGGACUCUCAGGAGACUGCCGCGGAUAACGUGGAGGAAGGUGGGGAUGACGUCAAGUCCUCAUGGCCUUUAUGACCAGGGCUACACACGUACUACAAUGGCAGGUACAAAGGGCAGCCACUUAGCGAUAAGGAGCGAAUCCCGUAAAACCUGUCUCAGUCCGGAUUGGAGUCUGCAACUCGACUCCAUGAAGUUGGAAUCGCUAGUAAUCGCAGAUCAGCACGCUGCGGUGAAUACGUUCCCGGGCCUUGUACACACCGCCCGUCACACCACGGGAGUUGAUUGUACCAGAAGUAGUUGAGCCAACCUUUUAGGAGGCAGGCUACCAAGGUAUGGUUGGUAACUGGGGUGAAGUCGUAACAAGGUAGCCCUAGGGGAACCUGGGGCUGGAUCACCUCCUUU